rnacentral:rRNA from 1 species
AGAAUCAACGCUGGCGGCGUGCCUAACACAUGCAAGUCGAACGAGAAAGUGGAGCAAUCCAUGAGUAAAGUGGCGACCGGGUGAGUAACACGUGACUAACCUACCUUCGAGUGGGGGAUAACCUCGGGAAACCGAGGCUAAUACCGCAUAACAUCGCAAGAUCAAAGCAGCAAUGCGCUGGAAGAGGGGGUCGCGGCUGAUUAGCUAGUUGGCGGGGUAACGGCCCACAAGGCGAAGAUCGGUAGCCGGCCUGAGAGGGCGCACGGCCACACUGGAACUGAAACACGGUCCAGACUCCUACGGGAGGCAGCAGUGGGGAAUUUUGCGCAAUGGGGGAAACCCUGACGCAGCAACGCCGCGUGGAGGAUGAAGCCCCUUGGGGCGUAAACUCCUUUCGACCAAGACGAUAAUGACGGUACUGGUGGAAGAAGCACCGGCUAACUCUGCGCCAGCAGCCGC